rnacentral:pre_miRNA from 1 species
UCUACAACAUUUGAACCGUCGAUCUAUCGAGCAAUAUUACCCGCUCGGUGGAAGAUCUUCCUUUCGUCUUAAAUC